rnacentral:rRNA from 1 species
UGGAAGUAAAAGUCGUAACAAGGUCUCCGUUGGUGAACCAGCGGAGGGAUCAUUACUGAGUUAUCAAAACUCCAAACCCUUUGUGAACCUUACCGUCGUUGCCUCGGCGUGAGCUACGGCUACCCUGUAACUACCCUGGAGCUACCCUAGAGUUACCCUAUAGCUACCCUGCACUUACCCUGCAGCUACCCUAUAGCUACCCUGGAGCUACCCUGGAGCUACCCUGUAGUCGGCUUCGGCCCGCCGAAGGACCGUUAAACUCUUGUUUUUACCACUGUUUCUCUGAAUUCUAAACUAAAAUAAGUUAAAACUUUCAACAACGGAUCUCUUGGYUCUGGCAUCGAUGAAGAACGCAGCGAAAUGCGAUAAGUAAUGUGAAUUGCAGAAUUCAGUGAAUCAUCGAAUCUUUGAACGCACAUUGCGCCCACUAGUAUUCUAGUGGGCAUGCCUAUUCGAGCGUCAUUUCGACCCCUAAGCCCCUGUUGCUUAGCGUUGGGAAUCUACGGCGUAGUUCCUCAAAGUUAGUGGCGGAGUUAGGGUACACUCUCAGCGUAGUAAUUUCUCUCGCUCGUGUGGUGGCCCUGGCUGCUGGCCGUUAAAACCCCUAUAUUUUCUAGUGGUUGACCUCGGAUUAGGUAGGAAUACCCGCUGAACUUAAGCAUAUCAAUAAGCGGAGG